GGUAGUGGCUCAGUGGUAGGGUGCUUGCCUAGCAUGCAUGAGAUACUGGGUUGGAUCCCCAGCACCA
rnacentral:tRNA from 1 species